AGUCGAACGGCAGCACAGCAGUAGCAAUACUGUGGGUGGCGAGUGGCGGACGGGUGAGUAAUGCAUCGGGAUCUACCCAAACGUGGGGGAUAACGUAGGGAAACUUACGCUAAUACCGCAUACGUCUUACGAGAGAAAGCAGGGGACCUUCGGGCCUUGCGCGGUUGGACGAACCGAUGUGCGAUUAGCUAGUUGGUAGGGUAAUGGCCUACCAAGGCGACGAUCGCUAGCUGGUCUGAGAGGAUGAUCAGCCACACUGGAACUGAGACACGGUCCAGACUCCUACGGGAGGCAGCAGUGGGGAAUAUUGGACAAUGGGCGCAAGCCUGAUCCAGCAAUGCCGCGUGUGUGAAGAAGGCCUUCGGGUUGUAAAGCACUUUUAUCAGGAGCGAAAUACUACCGGCUAAUAUCCGGUGGGGCUGACGGUACCUGAGGAAUAAGCACCGGCUAACUUCGUGCCAGCAGCCGCGGUAAUACGAAGGGUGCAAGCGUUAAUCGGAAUUACUGGGCGUAAAGCGUGCGUAGGCGGUUAUUUAAGUCUGUUGUGAAAUCCCCGGGCUCAACCUGGGAAUGGCAAUGGAUACUGGAUAGCUAGAGUGUGAUAGAGGAUGGUGGAAUUCCCGGUGUAGCGGUGAAAUGCGUAGAGAUCGGGAGGAACAUCAGUGGCGAAGGGGGCCAUCUGGAUCAACACUGACGCUGAG
rnacentral:rRNA from 1 species